AUGUGUAAAGGUUAUAAGGUAAAGGUCUGUGUGCGUUUGUCAGUGUGAUUAUAACGCGGACUGAAAUGGACUUCUCGAUCCGUGUCGCCACCAUUGAGGACUGUAAAGACAUCAGGCGCAUGAUGGCAGAGCUUGCAGAGUAUGGGAAAAUUACAGAUCAGAUUACAAUUACACAAAAAGACCUAGAGCAUGAUGGGUUCUCUAAAAACCCAUUUUUCCAUGUGAUAAUCGCUGAGGUUCCAGAAAAGUACAAGACCAAAGAUGGAAAUGCAUUGGCAAAGCUCUGAUGAGUAAAGUUGCACAGGUCAGGGAUGUUUUCUGGGACGGGUCGCUGGCUGCACUCAGCUCAAGCUUACAGCGUUGAACUGGAACAAGACAGCGCUGGACUUCUACCUGAAUCAGGGUUCCGUGGACUUGACCUCUGACCUGGGUUACCAUUACAUUUGCUGUCAUGGGGAUGCCUUUCAAAAGAUGGCUGAUAAAGGAUCAGGUUAAUUUCAGAUUCAUUACUUCUAUCCCUAGCUAAACUUCAGAAGGUUUUGGUCCAACACAACAUUUGGUUAUUUUUUGAAAGGCCACAUGAAGAAAAAUACAAAAAAGAUCAAAAUUCAUAGCCAAGGUCAUAUGUGUGGUGGCCUAAAAAACCCAGAUGUUGAUAUGAAGUUGAAGUUGAAGUUGAAGUUGAAGUUGUCGGAUAACUAAUUCUAGUCUAUAUUAAAAUGUUUACAAAAUCGAAACAUUACAAAAAUAAAACUACAAUCAAGACAA